UAGCUCAGUCAGUAAAGAGUCUGCCUGCAGUGCAGGAGACCCAGGUUCGAUUCCUGG
rnacentral:tRNA from 1 species